ensembl:lncRNA
GUGACGAACCUGCAUUGAGUUUUACUAAUUAGCUCACCUGCCAGGUGGUUUUCUUAAUUAGUUAAUUGGUUGCAUCUGGUGAGUUUCACUUAAAAGGGAACCGGACAGUACAUUUGUUUGUGUACUGUUUUGGUGAAGUCUGUUGUGACUUAUUUAACAUCUCUUCCAGUUCACAGGUUAAAGACUUUUUGAAGUAAAGAGGAGCAUCUCAUCUGAACCUGAUGUCUAUCAUGGAUAUUUAACUGUAGUUCUGUGAGUAUCCCAACUUAACCAUGAAGCAUAUCUGCAAACUGUAAGUCAUUAAUUUCUCAUUAAUCUUGGGAACACUGAUGUAUUUUGGCUUCCUGGUGAGUUAACCUGUUACCUGAAGGUUGAUCUGAGUAUGUUUCAUUGGUUCAUGGGUUACUUAGGUGUUUGGUUUAUGUUGGUAUUAAUGAUUUGUUAAAAUGGUUACAGGCUCCAAGUUAUUGUUGUAAACUGGAGCAUUGGGUUGGGUUCUGAUAUCUUCAGUCUUCUUUCAUUCUACACUCCUGAGCUCUGCAUCUUCAUCACAUGAGUGUUGCUUUACUGAUGAGGGUGUGGUCUGAGUGAGCAGAGGUGCAUACUGGGAUACAGAGCUGUCUCGAGUCUACAGGUCUGUAGACACGAUCCCUCAGGGGAAACCGAGUGUUUGAGAAACUGUCGUGACGUCAGUUACAUGGACUGCAAUGUUCUUAAAGAUGGAGACAGGGAUUCAGAAGGAGAAACACCAGGGGUAGAUGAGGGGGGCUCCUCCUCUCAACGACUAAAAAUGUAACUUCAGUCUGACACAGAGAACCAUGGAACACAUUCAACAGUCCCCUCCAGGCAUCGUGACUCCUCAGGAACAGUUUCAUUUCCAAGAAGGUCUUAUUUGGGGCCAUCCCCAUAUGGAUCCUGCUCCUCAAGAGCCACCACCCUCCACUGGGUGGUCUUCUGAACAGAUGACCUCCUUCCUGUCCUCAGGCUGACUAAAGCUGCACCGUUUACAUCUGUGAAGGCCCCUCAUUCAGGAAACCACUGGCCUACAAAGACAUGACUUCAGAGAUGUUGAUUCAACCUGGGACACAUUUUGGAGACGCCAAGCAUAAUCCAUCACCAAUGUGGGACGCCACUGAAUAAUGUUGUGCAUAAUUUACGUCUCUGGAGACAUUGGUUGUUCUGUUAUGGGUGCCCUGGCAGGAGAGCUGGGGGGGGGGGUGAUGGGUGAUGGAAUGUUAUUUGCUAUGAGGUUUUUACCCUGCAUGAUUGUUUGGCCUUUUAUGGUUCAGUGGUGUGUGUGUUUUGGGUUUGACAUGAGAUGGAAGAUUUUUGAGCAUCGCUAGGGUUCUGUGUGUCUCCCACUCACACCUGGCAUGGGGUUCUACGUGCCUGUCCUGGGUUCUAUGUGUGUGUCCGGCUUGCUUUGACAGUGAUAAUUUUCAUACGGGGGUCUGUGGGAUUGGCUUGGGAUAUUGGAAUGGUCAACUAAAUCAUACCUGAUGGAAGGCCACACAUUUACUUAAGGGCCUCCAGUAGACAUGAAGAGCCCUGAGCAAUGCUCCGGAGCGUGAUCCAACACACUGGGCAGGAAGGAGAGUAUCCAACUCAAGUGUAAAAGGAUGCAAGCGGCGUGUUCAGAUCAGUGACAAACUAGGACUACACCAAUCAGGAUCAAUGGAGGAUGGACACCAAAAGGAAUUUCACAAGGAGAGUCUGACGUUGGAAAGGGACCUAAAUGGAUAUUCAAGAUGACCUUCCGACCUGUAAUGAGAAGGCUCUUCCUACCUGGCUGGAUUGAUGGAGAGCCCUGUGGAUCUUGUCUUGCUCUCAGUUGCACGUCUUCCUAGGCUGAACUGCAUUUGUUUCGGACAGGACUAGCUGAACGAUUGGUUCCCUUAAAUCAGAACCAAUCCGGGAACUCCAGCUAGUGCGCUCUUCGAGCUGAAGUUGUGCUCUUCAGCUGAGGAGGUAAGGAACCUUCACUGGGGCUUCAAGGCGUAAAGAGGAGAAUGUUUCAAAGUGUUCCAUGGUACUCUGAUGAAGACCGUUGUUGUGUUCCACUGGCUGCGAGGAAGAACCCACACAUCUUCCUCUUGGCCUUUCUCCUCUGAGAAUCCUGGCGCCAUCUUGAAGGAUAUUCCAGCUCAUGUAAUUGAUGUCACGACAGAUUCUCAAACACUUGGUUUCUCCUGAGGGGCGUGUCUAUGGAACUGAAGACUUCAGACAGCACUGUAUCCCAGCAUGCAUCUCUGCUCACUCAGACCACACCCCCAUGAGUAGGAUGCAACACUCUAGUGAUGGAGAUGUAGAGUUUUAUAAGUAAACGAGGGAGCAGACUAAGGUGAUUAGAACACAAUGGAAUGUCAAGUCUGUAAAUCUUUAAACCAUGAAGAUGGUUGGAUAGUUCAGGAAUUGGGCUUCUUUUUAUUAUGGGCAGUCCUUUCACUCAGAUGCCCACUUCUCACUGGAGCUGUACAUGUGUUGGCUGGCUGGCAUGAUUUGCUGUUGGUGAUGAGGCGGUCAGGGUAACGUUGCAGGGCUAUGGUCGGCUCUCUGUGAGGUCAACGUUUAGAUUUGCUCUGUAUGGUUUGUACCCUGAAUAAUUUAGAUAAUUGUAAAAUGUAGACACAGUUUUGUAUUGAAUGAUUCCAGGAUUUUAGUUUUAAAGUUGUUGUGGGACGUACAUGGUAGUUUGGUUCUUCGUAUGGUUUUGAGUGAUAUAACUUGUACACACUGGGUGCAUAAUAAUGUAAAGGUACACUGAAUAGUAUUAAUGACCAACAGCAACAAACAGAUCUCCUCAAGGUAAGUCUGUUGGCUGUGUUUUAAUGAAGACCAUCGCUGGACUUCAGGAUCUUCCUCCGUUCAGCUCAAGGUGAGGCGCUGGUUCUGUUUUUUCUUUGGUUGGUUCCGGCCGGAAUGUUCGGAUUCCAGUCAGACGGUUUGUGCUUCCUGCCGUGCAAGGUUCUGAGUGCGGUCACUUGAUUUAGUCCCAAUGGUUAGCAUAGAACGUUGUAGUCUUGACAACCAUAAGAAACCACCUGGCAGUUAGUUGGACGGGAGUCCCCUGAGGGAAUCUGACGGAACUUUCUGGAUUGUAUUUGCGUAACCUCGAGCCGUUGCCAACGGAAACUAUUUUUCAGUCGGUUUCCAUUGGGAAUUGUUGCCCCUAUCUUAAACAACUAAAGUUUGAUAUUAAAUACAUACUGACACGUACGUCGUACAAAAUGUUGAUAAUAUCCGAUGGUUGCGCCAAACUCUUAACCACGAUGACGUUGCGGGACUCUCACUGCGUACAAAACAGCGUUCUACUUGCGGGCCCAUUUUUGACAUCAGGGAAGGCUUAAAAUCAUUUCAAGAUGGAAGAUAAUUUGACAUUUCUUCAACGGAACCCAGCACCUGAAUAUGGCUGAGUAUAUUUGAUUUAAUAUCGAUACUGCUUAGUGUUCUUUGUUACUUCAGCCUUUGUACGUUCUAAUUACUGCUGUCAUUGAUUGCCACAGAAGUUAAACCCUACCCAAUGGAAUGACGUUAAACAACGACUUUGGUGCAGUGUUAACAACUGGAUAAUAUAAAAGCUAAAAUAAUGGCCGUCAUUCCCAAAUGUUACAGUAGAAGAUACUCUAGAACUGUAGAAGGUUAAAAAGGUAACAUGUAGUUUGUCCCAAGGUGUCUGCCUCCUCACCCAGAGCAAGACCUCCACCUCCUCACCCAGAGCCAGACCUCCACCUCCUGUCAGAAGUCCUCCAGAACAGACCAGGACUCUGUCUGAGGAGAGCUGCUGGAGGAGCUGAGACGCUGGAGGACGACUAGGGAUCGACCAACAAGGAUUCCUCAACGUGUUUCUGGAGCGGAGGCGAGCUGGUAGGGGAGCCGUGAAUCUGGAGGAUGACCAUCACUCUACCAACAAGGAUUACUUUAGGGCCAGACUCGCGCUGUUUGUUCCAGACCAGGACUCUGGCUGAGGAGAGCUGAUGGAGGAGCCAAGACUCUGGAGGACUCCACCAACCAGGAUCCUUACACAGCUGAGCUGAACCUCACCUGAUCCUGUUUGGUCGGGGGUAGACACACCUGAGCUAAACCCGCCCUGAUCCUGACAUCCUGCUGGUCCCGUCUCCUCAGUUCAUCUGAGCCUCGUCCUCCCAGAAGACCUGCUGAGCUCAGCAGUCUGAGGCUGAUCGAUCAAUGACCUCCAGUGGGAGUGAUCUUCUUGACCCCACAUGUAACCGUGUGCUUCCACACGCCUUUCCCUCACGUCUGUCACUAACCUCUCUACUUCACUACUCUCUCUACUGCUUCCUCUUUUCUUCCUUCUCUGUGGUUCAAACCUUUGCACGGAAGGCACGUCUUCCUGCCCUCAGAGGGUUUAGCGUUAGGGUUGAGAGUCAGGGCUUAGAGUCAGGGGCAGAGCUGGUCAGGGAGGACUGCUUUUAAACAAAAAUCUUCACUUGCUUUCAGAAUGGUGGUGACAUUUUGAAAAGAUUCAUUUGGGAAAAAAAUUUCCUCUGCUUUCCUUUACAAAAUUGUAUUAAACUUCUGUCAAGUGUUUUUGUUUAUAUAUUAAAAUCCCACAUUGACUUCUACAUGUUUGAGGCGGUUCAUUUAAUUGUCCUUUAACUUGGUUAAUGUCAAGCUAAACUCUUGCUAUUCAUUUAAUAUACAUGAUUGUUAUUCAGCAAUGUUCACAUAAUCCAUUUGUAAAAAUCUGAAACCUCCAUAUGGCUACUAAAUUCAAGCCUAUUCAUGUAUUUAACAAUGUACAUACUGCCCCGAAGGCCAUUCUCUGCUACUACAACACGUUCAAUACACCAACCCGUCUCACAUCAAUGUACUAUAGCUA